UGGAGGAAAGCAGGGGAUCGUAAGACCUUGCGCUUUUGGAGCGGCCGAUGUCUGAUUAGCUAGUUGGUGGGGUAAUGGCCUACCAAAGCUUCGAUCAGUAGCUGGUCUGAGAGGACGGCCAGCCACACUGGGACUGAGACACGGCCCAGACUCCUACGGGAGGCAGCAGUGGGGAAUUUUGGACAAUGGGCGCAAGCCUGAUCCAGCCAUGCCGCGUGAGUGAAGAAGGCCUUCGGGUUGUAAAGCUCUUUCAGCCGGGAAGAAGAGGCUGCGACUAAUAAUCGCAGUUCAUGACGGUACCGGAAGAAGAAGCACCGGCUAACUACGUGCCAGCAGCCGCGGUAAUACGUAGGGUGCGAGCGUUAAUCGGAAUUACUGGGCGUAAAGGGUGCGCAGGCGGUUUUGUAAGUCAGAUGUGA
rnacentral:rRNA from 1 species